GAUGAACGCUGACGGCGUGCCUAAUACAUGCAAGUCGAGCGAACGGACGAGAAGCUUGCUUCUCUGAUGUUAGCGGCGGACGGGUGAGUAACACGUGGAUAACCUACCUAUAAGACUGGGAUAACUUCGGGAAACCGGAGCUAAUACCGGAUAAUAUUUUGAACCGCAUGGUUCAAAAGUGAAAGACGGUCUUGCUGUCACUUAUAGAUGGAUCCGCGCUGCAUUAGCUAGUUGGUAAGGUAACGGCUUACCAAGGCAACGAUGCAUAGCCGACCUGAGAGGGUGAUCGGCCACACUGGAACUGAGACACGGUCCAGACUCCUACGGGAGGCAGCAGUAGGGAAUCUUCCGCAAUGGGCGAAAGCCUGACGGAGCAACGCCGCGUGAGUGAUGAAGGUCUUCGGAUCGUAAAACUCUGUUAUUAGGGAAGAACAUAUGUGUAAGUAACUGUGCACAUCUUGACGGUACCUAAUCAGAAAGCCACGGCUAACUACGU
rnacentral:rRNA from 1 species